AUAGCGUAUAUUUAAGUUGUUGCAGUUAAAAGGCUCGUAGUUGGAUUUCGGGGCGGCCUCGGCGGUCCGCCGUCUCGGUGUGCACUGCCGCGGGCGUCCUUGCUGCCGGACACGGGCUCCUGGGCUUCACUGUCUGGGACUCGGGGUCGGCGAGGUUACUUUGAGUAAAUUAGAGUGUUCAAAGCAGGCCUACGCUCUGAAUACAUUAGCAUGGAAUAACACGAUAGGACUCUGGCCUAUCUGGUUGGUCUGUGGGACCGGAGUAAUGAUUAAGAGGGACAGUCGGGGGCAUUCGUAUUUCAUUGUCAGAGGUGAAAUUCUUGGAUUUAUGAAAGACGAACAACUG
rnacentral:rRNA from 1 species